rnacentral:rRNA from 1 species
UACGUAGGGGGCGAGCGUUGUCCGGAUUUAUUGGGCGUAAAGAGCGUGUAGGCGGCCAGGUAGGUCUGCUGUGAAAACUCGAGGCUCAACCUCGAGACGUCGGCGGAAACCAUCUGGCUAGAGUCCGGAAGAGGAGAGUGGAAUUCCUGGUGUAGCGGUGAAAUGCGCAGAUAUCAGGAGGAACACCGGUGGCGAAGGCGGGUCUCUGGACCGUAACUGACGCUGAGACACGAAAGCGUGGGGAGCAAACAGG